rnacentral:rRNA from 1 species
AUUGAACGCUGGCGGCAGGCCUAACACAUGCAAGUCGAACGGUAACAGGAAGCAGCUUGCUGCUUUGCUGACGAGUGGCGGACGGGUGAGUAAUGUCUGGGAAACUGCCCGAUGGAGGGGGAUAACUACUGGAAACGGUAGCUAAUACCGCAUAACGUCGCAAGACCAAAGAGGGGGACCUUAGGGCCUCUUGCCAUCGGAUGUGCCCAGAUGGGAUUAGCUAGUAGGUGGGGUAACGGCUCACCUAGGCGACGAUCCCUAGCUGGUCUGAGAGGAUGACCGGCCACACUGGAACGGAGACACGGUCCAGACUCCUACGGGAGGCAGCAGUGGGGAAUAUUGCACAAUGGGCGCAAGCCUGAUGCAGCCAUGCCGCGUGUAUGAAGAAGGCCUUCGGGUUGUAAAGUACUUUCAGCGGGGAGGAAGGGAGUAAAGUUAAUACCUUUGCUCAUUGACGUUACCCGCAGAAGAAGCACCGGCUAACUCCGUG